GCUGCUUCUGUCCAUUGGAAAUGACAGUUUGACACUGGACACUCAAUUGGCAUACUCUCUCCUGGAGAAGACUACCUCUCCUACUCCUGACUUCCUGACUUGCUUAUAGUUCUUUGUGAGAGUGCACAGCACUGCUGUCAAGACUCAUUUCAGCCUCUGCAAUUUACCUGCUGUGCUUAUUUUAUGGAGCAGCAACAUGUGAAGCACCGGAGAGGCACACGCAGCAGCCCUCCACUGUGGAAGACAGGCUUGAAUUGCACAAGGCAGCCCUCCACUCUGAAAGACAGGCUUGGAUUUCAUA